rnacentral:misc_RNA from 1 species
UGACAGGCAAAGCAAUUAACUCAUAAGAAUGAGAUGUACCACAGCAUAUGUACAACUGUGCUCUUAAUGGACUGGCAGAUAACUGAUCUGGGUAAUGACGCUGUCGCUGGCUCCCCAUAAUUAUGAUCAGCUCUCUCCGGUUGCAUGAUGCCGUGACACUAGUAUGAUGAUAGAGGGAACUGCUUCUACCUGACUGAUACUUAACCCUGAUUGGCAAAAUGGAUGUAACGCAAUUUUACUGUUUAUGUACUUUGACAAUAAAAUUCAGUGGUGGCUCCCAUGGUGAGCUGGCUCCCAAAACUGAUUUAGACAUUCUGAAAAUUGCUUAUUGUACUAAACGUACCAGAAUGAAUGUAUGCUGUGUGGCAACACAAUUUCG